UUUUUUUAAGAGCAAUGAAGUUGGAGGCAGUGCACACAUGGAGAAGGAAGGACACAGAAGAGGUCUGGAUCAUCGAGUCCAACCAGUUACAAGUAGAUUACAUUGUGACUGAUCGCUACACCCAGGUGCAGAAAUAUCUGAGGGAGAGAGAGAUCAAACAGUACUAUGAUAUUUGGCACCUCGAGAAAGGGCUAUCUAAAAAAUUAGAAAAAUUGUCAAGAAACAAAGACUGCCAAGUGCUGCAAAACUGGUUGCUGGGUAUAAAAAAUCACAUCUACUGGUCAGCCAUGUCUUCCACAGAAGGACCAGAAAAAGUUGCUAAGUGGAAGAGUUUAUUUAAUCACAUUCAGAAUGUCCACAUUCAUGAAGAUCCAGUAUUCCCCAAGUGAGCUCAUGCAGACAAGAGUGUCCAGAGACCCUAGUAAAUGGUUAAAACCAGGCUUGUGACUGUAAUUUCAAGUAAAAAAAAAAAAAAUAACCUACUAUAGGUAUUAAAGUCAGUAUGUUUAUCAUUUCUCCAUUUCUAUUCUAAUAGGUACCAUGGUCCUGUAUAAAGUGGAGAAGCUGCUCAUGAACAAGAGAGUUCUCCGCGAUGUGGAAAAGCUGAGCCACCAACAUCAAACUUCAGCUCUUGAGGCAUUCCACAGUGUCAUUCUGAGAUUCGCCCCCAAGAAUGUUGUUUUUCCUUUUAUUAGAAUGCUAUGCAGGCUGUAUCUUGCGGCAAUGCAUUUCAACGAGAAUGCUGAUCGUGAACAGGCAAUGAACUUGGAAGGCAAAGCUGUCUAUCGAAUAAUGUAUCCAAAAUCUAAGGAG